rfam:Sorghum bicolor cultivar BTx623 chromosome 10, whole genome shotgun sequence.
GUACUCGUAUCCACUCCCGAUUCAUAUGUAUUGGAGUGGAUUGGGAUAGAUCUUAAACUAUUUUCUACCUCAAUCCACUACAACAUAUAUGAAUUGAGGUGGAUACGAGU